AAACAAAAUUGAUGGGCUAAGUUGAAGCCAGAUUCAUCGUUGUUGAAGGCCCUGUGGGCGCGAGACGCGCAAGCUGGGGCGCACACGCGCACACUCAUUGUUUCCAACAGCUUGAGCUCCUUCAUGGCGGUCUCACCUAGAGCUUUCAUUCUCUCCCGCAUCAAUGACCUUUCACCCAACCCUUUCCACCCCACCAAACCGCCCCCUCCUCCUUCCUUCUCCGUCUCCCUCAGGCGCCGUCGUUUGGCUUCGUCUGUGUCUCUCGUCCGGUGCUUAAUCUCCGGCGUUGAUGGCGGAGGCGUGUCCGAUGACUUUGUUUCUACUCAGAAAUCCUUUGACCGUGGGUUCACUGUCAUAGAGAACAUGCUCAUGAGAAUUGAGCCUCUCGACGCAUCCGUUAUCUCCGAGGGUGUUUCGACUUCCGCGAAGGAUUCCAUGAAACAGACCAUUUCUACGAUGUUAGGUUUGCUACCGUCUGAUCAAUUGUCCGUUACCAUUACGGUUUCAAAGCGUCCUCUUGAUCGCCUUCUUGUCUCAUCCAUCAUCACCGGGUACACUCUGUGGAAUGCUGAGUAUAGGAUGUCCCUAAUGAGAAAUUUCGAUAUGACACCUUAUGAUGGAAAGGGGUCCAAUUGUCCAACGGAGAUGGAGGUCUCGGGGCAGCAAAGCGGUGACGAUAGGGAAAUUGAAUUUGGUCCUCAUUUGCCGUUCAAAGACUCGGAACCUUGCAUCCCUCGCUUGUUUGCAGAUCUGCCUCCUGAAGCUCUGAAUUACAUUCAGAAGUUGCAGUCUGAGUUAACAUUUGCAGAAAAAGAGUUAAAAGCUCAGAAUCACGAAAUAAUACAAAUAGAGCAUGACAGAGGGAACAGGAAUGAUUUGUUGGAUUAUCUACGGUCUAUGGAUCCUGAUAUGGUGACUGAGCUGUCUCGGCCUUCGUCAUUGGAAGUGAAAGACAUAAUUCAGCGACUUGUUCAAAACAUAUUGAGGAGAUUCUUUUCAGAUGAUGCUAACCCAAAUUUUAUGGAGCACUCAGUUGGAAGAAAUUCAGAUAAUCAGGCAGAUGGUUAUGAUGAGUUUUGUUAUAAAGUAGAGACAUCUCGUGAUUAUCUAGCAAAGUUGCUUUUCUGGUGUAUGUUAUUGGGUCAUCGUUUAAGAGGCUUGGAGAACAGAUUGCAUCUAAGCUGUGCCGUUGGGUUGUUAUAGAGAAGAGCAUGCCUUCAUUUGGCCUCCCAAUCCUUAUAUUAUCCCGAAACGCCAAAAUGACAUGCAUUUCCGAUACGCGUAUCACUCAGGCAUAGACCUCCCCGAGUUUUCUAGGAAGGUCCAAAAAAUCAACCAAAUUCAAAGGAUGCCGAAAGGGAGAAACGCUUGCGGUCAACAAACAUAUAGACUGGAAAGCAGCAAAUUAUUUUUACAAAGGAUCGGCAGAAAUUAUGACAAUCCCAAAAAAAAAAAAAAAAGCCAAAACAAAAAACAAAAA